rnacentral:rRNA from 1 species
UACGAAGGGAGCUAGCGUUGUUCGGAAUCACUGGGCGUAAAGCGCACGUAGGCGGAUGUGUCAGUCAGGGGUGAAAUCCCGGAGCUCAACUUCGGAACUGCCUUUGAUACAGCACGUCUUGAGUCCGAGAGAGGUGGGUGGAAUUCCUAGUGUAGAGGUGAAAUUCGUAGAUAUUAGGAAGAACACCGGUGGCGAAGGCGGCCCCACUGGCUCGGUACUGACGCUGAGGUGCGAAAGCGUGGGGAGCAAACAGG